rnacentral:rRNA from 1 species
AGAACGAACGCUGGCGGCAUGCCUAAUACAUGCAAGUCGAACGAAGGCUUCGGCCUUAGUGGCGCACGGGUGCGUAACGCGUGGGAAUCUGCCCCUUGGUUCGGAAUAACAGUUGGAAACGACUGCUAAUACCGGAUGAUGACGAAAGUCCAAAGAUUUAUCGCCAAGGGGAUGAGCCCGCGUAGGAUUAGCUAGUUGGUGAGGUAAAGGCUCACCAAGGCGACGAUCCUUAGCUGGUCUGAGAGGAUGAUCAGCCACACUGGGACUGAGACACGGCCCAGACUCCUACGGGAGCAGCAGUAGGGAAUAUUGGACAAUGGGCGAAAGCCUGAUCCAGCAAUGCCGCGUGAGUGAUGAAGGCCUUAGGUGUAAAGCUCUUUACCGAGAUGAUAAUGACAGUAUCGGAGAAUAAGCCCGAUAACGUCCGCGACCAGCAGCCGC